UGAGCAAUCUGCCCUUCUCAUCGGAAUAAGCGUUGGAAACGACGUCUAAUGCCGAAUACGACCUCCUUUCGCAUGAUCGGAGGUGGAAAGCUCCGGCGGAGAAGGAUGAGCUCGCGGCCUAUCAGCUAGUUGGUGUGGGUAACGGCCCACCAAGGCGACGACGGGUAGCCGGCCUGAGAGGGUGACCGGCCACACUGGGACUGAGACACGGCCCAGACUCCUA
rnacentral:rRNA from 1 species